UCUCCUCCCGGCUCUCCUCCGGGCUCUCCUCCAGGCUCUCCUCCCGGCGGAGCAGCCCAGCGGCCUCAGCCGCUCCUCGCACGGCCUCCCCUCAGGGCCCGUCACCGCACUCGUAGCUCUCUGACGGACCCUCCCUAAUAGAAACACGGAAGAAGACUCUCAAAAUAUUCUGGAAGGGAUCCGCCAAGGUCAUCAAGUCCAACUGUUGCUUGAACGGGAUUCCCAGGAAGUGAUUUUCCGCGGGAGGCGGCUCAGCUGCCAGUGGGGCAGGUGGGGCGAAGAGCAGAGCCUCAGCUCUGUGCUGCUGUGAGGGGCCUGGGGCUGUGCUCUGCCAUUCGGCUUCCACCGGAGGAGUCGGGAGGGACCGGCCUUCAUCAAUAAGCUCUGCUGGGCACCGUGGUCUGUAUAAACCAAGGCAUCUGCCUGUGACCUCUGGGCUUUUCCAUCAGAGCCUCUGGGGUGGUGUUUAAUGUCCCUGGCAUUAAUGUUUAAUUUUUUCUAAAUAUCAGGGUAUGUAAAAGCUUCUCUGUGGAUACAUUUUUGGAGGUAUAUCCAUAAACUGCUGUCAUGUAUAAAAACCCAAACAAUUAGUCAGUGAAUUCCUGACCUAAAGCAAUGCAGAAUUUUUUGAGUCUCAAAUCAAGUCAAUUGAAGCCUAAAAACUGGAUAAGAGCAUGAAUUAGGUUAUAAAUAGUUUCUUUCUAAGGAUCCUUUUGUUUAAUGUAUGGCCUAAAAUUAAUUUAUUUGCUGUGCAUGCAUUUCAUGACUAUCUCAGAUGAAUUUUUCUUCUGUUUGGAAAAAUUCCCUUCUAGACAGCCUCUUUAUGAAAGACUACAAAAAUGAUCUGUGCAUUUUCAUGUACCAAUCUCUCAAAUGUGACCAGACCAUUGCUGAAUUCUGUGUUAAAAUAGACUGCAUCAAGCCAAAGGGUAACACCUUUCCGUACGUUUUUCUCGUGGUAUCCCAAAACCAAACCGAGACUUGCAAUAAGUCUCUCUGCUCUGUCACAUCUUGAAGUGGGUUUUUUUCUCCCUCCCUGUGUUACAGAAACUUCUUUUUUCACAAGUAGCUUGCUGAUUCAGGUGCAGUGUUUGACUUGUGUGCUCCAGGAUUUCCGUUCAGAGCUGGGCAUGGAGGUGGGCUGUUUGAGGGUCAGUGAGCCUGAAAUCAGUGGAAAUCAAAUUUACAGCAACAUUCAUCUCUAACUUGCAGUCACCUCUUUGUGGUGUAGUUGUUUUCAUAAGAGGAAGCAGCAUGAUAGAAGAGAAAGAAAGAGAAAAAGAAAGAAAGAAAGAGAGAAAGAAAGAAAUCCCAUUUUACAAUGGCUUUUAAUCUAAUUAUGAUCUUGAAUUUGAAAGCUCCCACUGACUGAAUUGGGACUAAAGGAUUUGCUGCUUCUAUUUGCCUUCCACCAAAAGCUGCAGGUAAAAAGCUAGAGGGCAGCAGACAACAGCAUCUCUGUGGAGCAUGAAGAGGGUACUCAUUCACUCCAGAACCAAGAGAAAUCAUGUCAUUCCCCAAAAUUUCUUGAAGGGAAAAUGGCACCAACCCUACUACAGAAAUCAUCCCUGCCUAGGGACUAGGUGGGCUUCUUUUGGCAAUAUUACAGUGGAGAAGAGGAUGGUAGUAAUGAGGAAAAGUGGGUCUUAGUCUUGCUGUUCCUUUAUAUACAAGGUGGGUUUCAGCUUGGCGAAGAUUAUUUUUUUUUUCUUCAGCAACCCUGCCAUGGCUCUCAUAUCUUCCCCUCCAAGCUGUGUCUUCUUCCUCGACUUUUUGCCGUGACUUUGCAGCAUCUGGGUGCUUAGUUUUGCUAACUUUUGGUCCUUGCACUGCAUCACAUUUCCUCCCACACCUUUUUCUUGUAGUCACUAAAUAUCCCGAUUUUCUGGCUUUUGGGAUUUUUGUCAGGCGCCCUUCAUUUGAUCAUAUCUCCUUUCCAGAGCGUUUGUAAGCCUUUCUUUUCAGGGUCGCGAGAUUUCGUUUCCCUUCCCGAAAGGAAAUGAAAUUUCCUUUCGGGAAGGGAAACGAAAUCUCGCGGUUUCAAUGGGAAUCAAUGGGGCAAUCUUUGGACCAAGUCCCAGCACUUGACAGCAUCCCAUGCCUUUUGGUGGGUUUCAGCUUGGCGAAGAUUUUUUUUUUCUUUUUUCCAGUAUCCAUGCCAUGGCUCUCAUAUCUUCCCCUGCAAGUCGUGUCUUCCUCUGCGACUUUUUGCCGUGACUUUGCAGCAUCUGUGAGCUUAGUUUUGGCAUCUUUUGGUCCUUUGCACUGCACAUCAUAUAAUCCUAGCCCAUUUUCUAGUAGUCACUAAAUUUGAAAAUUUUUUUUUUUUUCUUCAGCAACCAUGCCAUGGCUCUCAUAUCUUCCCCUCCACGUUGUGUCUUCUUCCUCGACUUUUUGCCAUGACUUUUCAGCAUCUGGGUGCUUAGUUUUGCUAACUUUUGCUCCUUGCACUGCACCACAUUUCCUCCCACACCUUUUUCUUGUAGUCACUAAAUAUCCCGAUUUUCUGGCUUUUGGGAUUUUUGUCAGCCGCCCUUCAUUUGGUCAUAUCUCUUUUCCAGGGCAUUUGUAAGCCUUUCUUUUCAGGGUCGCGAGAUUUCGUUUCCCUUCCCGAAAGGAAAUUUCAUUUCCUUUCGGGAAGGGAAACGAAAUCUCGCGGUUUCAAUGGGAAUCAAUGGGACAAUUCAGGGCAAUUCAGUCUUUCCAGUUAACCAGCAUGUUGCCCUCUGAGCUUCAAUUUUUAUAAUUUACAGAUUGGCAAGAGUUUCUGGAUGGGCCUUUUCUCCUUGAAAGAGACCUGCUGAAAAAACCUACUGCUUCUCUCAACAGCUGCAGUUUGUUCCUGCAUCUGUGUCUUACAAACCAAAUUCAUUCAAGUGAUUGAUUUCUUAACACCCCUUUCCUCUCACCCCCUUUUUCUUUACUAAGCAGACCAGUUUGCUUGGCUGCGUUUGCUUGGAUGUGCCAUUUGAAGUGUCCCAGAAGGCUCUCAUUGCUGAUAUGUUGUGUUUUGAUCUGACAGAUGGGAGAAAACAAAAGCUCUCUCUGCCACAAUGUCCUUUGGAAGUUGUCAUACCCCUAGUGUUCUCAUACCUCUGGUAUGUUCCCGUUUGUGCAGGUACCUUCUGACACACAGCUAUGAAGCUGUGUGAUCAUCUUGGCUGAUGACUUUCAGGAUUUUAUCCUUUGCAAUAAUUUGAUAGCCAUUUGGUAUAGCAACAUUGCUCACUGUUUAAAUUUACUGAGAUGUUUACUUGGCUUUUAUGGUGCUUCUUGUACUGCUGUUAGUAAAUUUUUACACCCUCAUCUUCAUGGUAUCGGCAGACUGAAAAUCUCAUUCCCCAUCUUUUGGGGUUGAUUUUCUGAGAAAACUUAUUCCUGCAUUGCAGUUACCUACUUUGCAGUAUUCUUCUGUGUCUGUGAUUUUAAAAACUGCAGGUUUUAGAUCCUGGAUCCAGGUUUCCUGCACUGCCAUCAACUCUCUUAAGGUAGAUGACUUCACACCUACCUCAAAAUUCUAGCUGAAGUAUAAUGAUAAACAGUGAAGCUGUUAAUCUGUUUAAAGACUAGUAAGAGGAACUUACAGUGCUUAUUCUUGGGGGUUUGGAUCUUUAUUAAUCUCUAGGAGUUCAACUUUGACCUUUGUUUUGCCUUCUGGAUUUAAAAACAAACCCUCUUCUCUUAUAAAGUUUGUUUUUUUUUUUUUUUUUUUUUUUUUUUUUUUUUUGUGAGCUGUUAAGCAUCUGUAACAUCCAGGUCCAUCAGUUCAUGUAGGAAAUACCUGGUAUUUGUUAGUACCAUGCAAAUACAACAAGGUGCUCUUUUUAUCUCUUAACACCCCUUGUAUAAAUGACCUUGGAAGGACGUGCUUGCUUUAUAAAGCAGCAUGCUAAGUACAUGCAGUGGAAAGUUGGAGCGUGUGGUGGCAGGAGUGUGAUUUGUGAUGGCUGCGCUGCUGAGCAGGGAAACCUGCCCUGAGCAGGAGCCCCUCCAGGAGCCUCUGUCUUUAUCAUUCACUGCCUUUUCCACUGCUUUGUAAAACAGCAAUAUUAGGAAUCAUGUAAAAUUCAGUUUGACAACAGUGAAGGCAGCAUCUGCCAACUCUAUGUCAUGGAGGCAACAAAAAUAAUUUUUCAAAUUCUCUGCCUGUCUGUCUCCUGCUGUAGACGUUGUAGCCCCCAGUUCCUGCUUUGUGAAGGGGAGUGCAGUGUCCUGCCAUGUUGGUGGUGCAUGGCACCACUGAGACUUUUUUUAUGAGCAGUUUUUUCCUCACUGGUCACUGAAAGCAGCCAGUGAAGAAUCUUUCUUCCUUCCUCCAAGCAGGGCCAGGUUUGUGUAGCCAGCCUGGCAGUGAUUGCUUCUGCAGUUACCUACAGAUAUUGCAGUCAAACACUCUCCUGCUGAUACCUCCUGGUAACAACAGCCACUGAGGCACAGCAGAGGUGUUGUGUGGGGUGGUGAGUGAACAUCCUUUGGCUGCACCAGGGUUGCUCCCAAAUGGCAUCAAGCACUAUCAGGAUCCUUUGUAGCUCAGCGCCACAAAGGAUCCUGAUAGUGCUUGAUGCCAUUUCACUUUGAGUUUGCUCCACUGGCUUCAACAGGAGUGUGAGGUCCUGGUCACUCCACACCACCCUGCCCUGUGGCUCUGUGACCCAAACUCAUUCAUGGUCCAGCUUGCCUGAACACAGGUGUGGGAUUUUGUUCCCUGUCAUUUGUGCAAUAAAGCUCUGUUUUAAAGGUUCUAUUGUGUAAAUAUCCCAAAGACAGCCCAGCACAAAACCAGCACCCUUUCUGCUCUUCCAGUCUGCAAGCUCACAGAGGCAGUUUCUUCUAAGGUUGUCCUUUUUGACAUGCAUCAGUUGCAAUGCAGUGAUGUGUGCUGUCAAAUGGUCUAACUUGGAUAUUUCUCCCUUUAUGUAACAGAAAUUACCUGUCAAUGUUUUCUUACUGGCAUGUGUUUCCUUUGACAGCCUUGUCACAUGUUUGGUUGACAAGAAGGCAAGAAAUCAAUUUUGUUUCUUUUUUUCUUUAUUUAGAAAUAAAUGCAUUAUUCCUAGAGCCCAGACUCAAAUGUAAUACAUUUGACAUUUCCACAUAGAGGCAUAUUACUCCUCACACACUGCACUUCACAAAGCAAGAGGUGUCUGAGAAGAAGGAAACCAAAUGAAAGUGUGGACUCUGGCUCUUACCAGUUCCUGAUGAGCUGUAGUUUCUCACCAACAGCUGUAAAAUGGACUGAAGACCAAAUCAGUUAGUGAAAGGAUAAUAUAUAAGGAGGGAAGUGUUUAUGGCAAAUAAAUGGGUCUGGGUGAAUCCCAUAUGUGUGGUAGGGGGCUUCUGCUCCAUGAGAUCAACUCCUGCUGCUUUUUAAUGUUUUUCUUUGCCCUUCUCAGGCUUGUCUCAGCCAAGGCUAUUUUCAGCCAUGUUCACCCUUCCCUGCUUCUUUCUAGUCCCCAAGCUCUGCAGGAGAGGUCUCCCUUCACAACAGACAGCAUGGGAAGGAGCAAACAUUUCUUUGUUCUGAAUCUGUCCCUUCUGUGUCUUUGUGGUAACUUCUUAGAGGCCAGAAAAUUUGCCUACACUCUGUAGAAGCAGCUUCCCUUGUCUCAGCUGCCUUAUCUCCCAGGCUUGCUCUGGAGGAGCAGAAUGCUGUGGGCAGGUGGAUGAGAUGAUUCCCUAGCACAGAUACGGCUUGUCCAGGUCAGUCCAGCAGGCUCAGCUGAGGUCUCUUGGAAUUUAUAAAGAGGUAAUGCCUACAAGCCUCAAAUGAAGUCCAGGGCUGGGAAUGCUGCCUGACUUGGCAGAAUUGAAACCUUUGAAUAAGAGAAUGUUCCCUAUGCUGUGCUCAGCCGCUGUAGGAGAGGGGGAAACAGCCUCUCUCCACAUUCCUCCUCUUCUGUGGUUGUGGACAGCUUGUGCUUCCACAGUUGUUCAAAACACAACUUGUCUUUGGGGUGUAUUUGCGCAGCACAGACAAAAAGCAGACCUAUACUCAAAUUAGGGAACUGAUUUCCUUGUUAAUGGGGAAAAUUUGUUGCACAGGAGCCACACAUUUGUUGGGCAUAUGCUUCCCUGUAUAAUCAGUUUAGCUGCAAGCUGGGCAGUGGUGGUAUCCUUGAUUUAUAGCAGACGCCAGGUCAUUUUUGUUGCUUUCAAGGUUUCCUGACAUUGUUUUGCAACUUCUGCAAAGCUUCAGAGAGCAGAAACAUUACACAGAAUUACACAGAGUGCUCUGAGCUGAAAGGCACCCAACAAGGAUCAUCGAGUCUAACCCUUAAGUGAAUGGCCCAAAGAGGGAUUGAAGCCACUUGCAGAGUCCUGUUGUGUUUGGAUACCCCUGAUACAACAACAGUUUUAUGGAACUGUCACAGGCUCUGUGAGAUGACACCACAGUUGAGAGCACUGACACAGAGCUGACUUGCUUUUGUUGUGGUGAAAUGCUGCUCCUUGUCACACGGGAUGAUGUUAAAUAAGUUCUGGAGGGGAAAAAAGGUUACUUUUCCUUUUCCUUUAGCUGCCUUUUCUCUCUUACUCUGGCCAGGGUAGCUGUCACCUCUGAUAAAGCAAACUACACCAGCCUCCACAGGGAUUUGAUUAAUCGUGUUGCAACAAUACACUGGUGGUGCUUCUCCCAUUUCAGGCUUUGUGGUAUGGAAACUACUUCUGAAAUACUUAGAGAUAGCCUGCCUGCACCUGGACUCAGAGUUCCUGGGAAGAGCUAUUUUAUUUACAACAUCCCUGCUUCCACAAUGCAGUACUGAAUGCCAGAGACAGCAGUGCCAGACCUGGUUAAUUCUAAACACCCCAAACUUCAUCUAUUUCCUAAGCCUUUGUUCUGAUGGGGAGGGAGCAUUAACAACAAGGCACUGCAAGCUGACAGAUCCUGUUCAUAUGAAAAUAAAGCGAUGGUACCCAGCCACCUCUUCUGCUGUUCCCACCCACAGUAACACAUCACUGGGCACCUGCAAACACAAGCUCUCCUGGGUCUGUCUGCAAAGCGAGAGGGGGAAAACAGAAAACACCAAAGGAGACAAAGCUGAGGAAGUUGUAGAACUUGAUACUCAGGAAUAAGAGGAGUCUUACCCUUCCAUUUCUUUGCUGAUUUUUAAUUUAGUACAAUACACAUAACAGGCAGAAUCUGAUACAAACUUCAAGAAGUUCAACCAAGACAACUGCAAACACUAAGUCCUGGACUACUACAAAAAAGUACAGGGUGAGGAGCAACCUUUACAAAAAAAAACCCUGUGUGUCCUGGAGAGAAAGCUGAAUAAGAAUCAGCAGUGUAUGUAUGAUGAAGAUGAACGACAUAUCGGCUGUGUGAGCAAAUGGGCAGCAAGAAGGGUAAAAAGAAUAAUGAUUCCCCUCUACUCAGCACUUGUGAGGCUGCAUCUCCAGUACCAUGUCCUGUCUUGGGAUCCCCAAAAGGAGAUGGACAUUGACAUAAUGGAGUAGGUCCGGCAAAGGGUCACGAAGCAGGAGUGCAACACACACAAAAAAGUAAAGUUUACUUGACAGCAAGGUGAUUCACCUAAGGGAAGAUCUUACUGCUGCCUUAAAUUACUUACUGGGAGGGUACAAACAUUAUGACAAAAGCUUUUCGUGAAGAUAGGACAGUGCCAAGACAAGAGUCAUGACUUGCAUUAAAGGGUAUUUUGACUAGACACAAACAAAAAAAUCCAACAGAAUGAGAGUUUACCCAGACAGUUUUACUAGGCUGAAACAUCUUCAUUCUUGGAGAUAAAUAAAAUUUCACUGGGAAAGGCCCUAAUAAAUUUAGCCUAUUUGAAUAGAAGGUUGAACUAAAUGGCAUUCAGAGGAUACUUGUGCCUUAAUUAUUGUGUGACUCUGUAAAACAGACAUCUGACAUCACUCAAAUUAACUCUACCUGAAUGUUUUAUGUUAUUUUUCAAAAAAGGCUUUGCCUUGCAGAUAUUUAAGGAGCGCUCCUCUGACAUUCCUCUAGUAGGAAGCAUGAACACUACUUUUCAGCAAAUGCAACGUGAAUAAAUUUGACACUUCAAACUCUUGGGAAAACAGCGGAAGUACUACCCAAAGCCUUAUUCUGAAGUUACAUGAUGGCUGCACUGGAACAUAAACCAAUUGACUGCCUCCUUACCCCAGCCUUGUUAGCUGCUCUCAGUCUGAAGCUGUACAUCCUCCCUGGAAGAAGGCUGCCCACUGUGCAUUCAACAUCAGAACCCUGGUAAACCUCUCUGUGUUCAUCGCUUUCUGCCUGAAACAUUUCCAGACCAUAACAGGUAAUGGGUGAACCACCAUCUACCUGAGGUGGUCCUAGAAAUAAGAAAGAAAGAAAAGCUUAUUUAAUUUUAACACAUUGGAAGACAUUUCAAUCCCUUACAAUCUCUAACACUUGUAAAAAAAUUACCCCAACGCAGCUGAAUUUCUCUUGCUCUUGGUCUACCCUGUAGCCUUGGAGGCUGGCAUGGACCAGGAACCACUGCUGGUGUCUGCACCAGUAAGGAAUCAGUUACCUAAAAAUGAAAGAUAGAUUAAUGAAGUUAUCCAGGCCAAACCAGGAACUAUCAGCUAUGCCAGAAGUAAAGGCAAAUACCUGAGUCAGAAACAAGACAAUACCUUUUUAAUUACAUCUUCAAAUAUGUGAGGAUACUGAAGUGAUCUGGUAUAUAUUUCUCAUAAUAUAAACAUUGCCAAAAUAAUCACACAAUACGCAAAAUUUGCUUUUGUAUUUUGGUACACGUGCAAGGAGUAGAAUUAAAAACAGUGGUUAAUUAUCAGUACAAACCUAGUACAGAUGCUUGAAAUAUGUCUUAUUCAAUGUAAACUCAUCCUCUUUUGUAUCAGACUGCAGUUUAAAGAGUUCUAAACCCUAAGGGCUGUAUACUUUCCAUGGAAGAAGCUCUCAGAAAGCAUAAGUGGGCAGAAGUGUCAAUCAGAAGAAAUUAAAAAAAAGAAAUUUCAACUUUUUCAUUGCUUAGCAAUACCUAAUGAGCAACAAGUUUCCACCUUUGAUUUGAAGUUUGGGCAAAAAUUACGUAAGAACAUAACAUGCAGCAGAUGGCAUUGACUGUUCUGGAUGCAGACAGAAGUGAGCAGAGACAAUGAGGGAUUUUUAGCUUCAGCUUGAUACAGAACAAAUAGGAAGUUGGAAAGACUUCAGGUUUACAGAUGAAUCUCAGAGUCUCAUUUCACAGCUGGUUUCUACGUAUGUUCAAGAAAGAGUGGACUGGUUUUCAGCUCCUUUGAAUACAUUGUUGCACUGAACAACUGCUGCUACUUAAAAGGCAGAAAGUUUCACAUAUGUUAAUGAGAAGCUGCAGAAGCAUUAAUUACAUCUUUCUUCACAGUUCUUCUGUUGAUUUCUGACACCUUCAGAGAGUGUAAGGACUCCCUGGAAGUUAUUUGCUAUUGGUACUCAAGGUUAAUUCUAAAUUCAAGGGGUUGGGCUGUAGGGAAGUAGGUUAGCAGAGUGAAAGUCUCCAAAGGCUUGUGGUCUGGUGACUGGGAAAGCACUGCAGCCAAGCCAGCAUUGAAGAAGUCCAGAUUUAUUCUUAAGGCAAGGUGGAUGUAGUAAAAGUUAUCUUUGCAGGAGACUUCUAUGUGGAGGAAGAGCACAUAUGUUUCAUGUCAUAAGGCAGGGCAAGGUAGAAACUGCAAACACCAAGAAUGGAAGGCUUUAAAGCUUUUGUGAGAGCAGCUUGACAGUAAAGUCCUGCUGGAAGUCUGCAGAGAGCCAGGGCUGGCUUUGUUAUACUUGUUGCUGAGAAGGGAGAGCAAAUGCAGCAAGACAUUUUGGCACUGGCAGCUGAUCUACACCACAGAAUUGACAGUGGAGGUGUGUGUGUGAAGAAGCACAGUAUGGAACAGCAAAUUGUUUGGGAAUACUGAAAAGUAGAGCAAUGUAAACACUUAAAUUGUGCUUGAGAAAGCACGGGAAGCAUAACCCUGUAAAGCCUGAGUGAAGGCUUCCCCUGCCUGCUGGGGUAACAUGGCUACUCAGACAAGGUACUCCACUGACUACAGAAAAUACAUAAAAUUCAGAGAAUCACAGAAUCUUCUGAGUUGGAAGGGAUCUACAAGGAUCAUCGAAGUCCAGCUCCUGGCCCCAAGACAGCCCCAAGAAUCACACUAUGUGAGAAACCAUUGUCCAAAUGCUUUGUGAACACUGUUAUGCUUGGUGCUGUGACCAAUUCCACGGGGAGCCUUUUCAAGUACCCUUCUUAAACUACUGUAUUGGUUUACGUCUUAAUAAAUGACAUUGUAUAAAUGUAUCACAUAGGAAAAGUAUCUGUUUCUGUAAAUAAGACUGUCAUGUCAAACAAAAUAUAUCAGGGAAUAAUAUUCAGAUAUUUUUCUUUAACAAAUGAGCAGAAACUUGAACCACUGUGCAGCAAUACUGGAACUUCUCCGAGGUUCCAAUUAUGGCUAUUUUGUUAGGCACGUCUGCACAAUAUUUGCUUAAAUAUGUACUGGACCAGAUUUUCUUACAGAGAGAUUUUAUUUAAUAAAAAUAUUAGCUGA